ensembl:lncRNA
AAAGCACAACGCUGCUUCUGUAAAAAGAAACUUCACUCAGGGAAGUUGACCCCGUCUUACCAGAGAGACCAGGCAAGUGACAGCCAGCUCACUCAGCCCCUCCACAUCGGCCAGCCUGUCUUUCUGGAGACCACGUCCACACGGAUGGACGGCCCCACGGUGAUAAUGGUCAUGCCGUCCCGCCCUGCACCGUCGCCCCCAAAAGACUCCCCAAGACUGGGGCAUAAUGCACAGAUGAGGCCUGCCCCCCCACCAAAGCCCUCGCCUGCCGCCCCUGUUAAACUGGCUCAUAAGCCUACUCCACCUCCAGUGCCCCCAGUGAAGCCAUCUGCGUCGAAUUAUGCUCAUAAGCCCACUCCACCUCCAGUGCCCCGAGUGAAAACAACUGCGACGAAUGGAGGAUGGAAUCAGACACAGUCAGGAACAGGAAAGCUGGCUUUGAGGCCUCCCACCAUGCCGAGAUGAUGACUCCGGGCGAGGUCACUGUGUGAGUCACCCAAUCAAAGUGAGCCAUCCUCAGAUUGAGAUUCCUGAGCCGUCCAUACUGUACUACAGCCAAACUGUACUGGUGCAAACCUUCUGAGUGCUCAGGAACCAAGCCUUCAGUGUCAAGUCCAUGUGUGAAGUCAGUGAUGCGGGAGGGAAUACCACUUGUUGUUGUUUUUUUUUUUUAAGUUGAGUAGUUUUUGAAAUAAUGAAUGUCAUCCCUAAAUGCACUUUUUCCAUUUUCUUACCAUCCUCUCUGUG